UACAUGUGGGGCAAGCGUUGUUCGGAAUUACUGGGCAUAAAGGGUGCGUAGGCGGUUUGUUAAGUCUGUGGUGAAAGUUUUUCGGCCCAACCGGAAAAAUUGCCGCGGAUACUGGCGAACUUGAGUGCGUGAGGGAUGGGGGGGAACGAGCAGUGUAGCGGUGAAAUGCGUAGAUAUUGGGAAGAACACCGGUGGCGAAGGCGGCUCACUGGCUCGUAACUGACGCUCAUGCACGACAGCGUGGGGAUCAAACAGG
rnacentral:rRNA from 1 species